rnacentral:rRNA from 1 species
UACGGAGGGUGCAAGCGUUGUCCGGAUUUAUUGGGUUUAAAGGGUGCGUAGGUGGUCCCGUUAAGUCCGGGGUGAAAGCCCACUGGCUCAACCAGUGGAACUGCCCUGGAUGACUGGCGGGCUUGAGUCCAGACGAGGUUGGCGGAAUGGAUGGUGUAGCGGUGAAAUGCAUAGAUACCAUCCAGAACCCCCGAUUGCGUAGGCAGCUGACUAGGCUGGUACUGACACUGAGGCACGAAAGCGUGGGGAGCGAACAGG